CUUAAAAUUAAGCUUGGAUGAUGUGAAAUGCCUUAGUGGUUAGUAGCUUGACAGGUAAUACUGUAGUUCACUAGUGUUCAUUUAGGUGGAAUACCACCAAGACCUAAUGGAUCUUGCUCUAUAAACCUCUGUCCAGUCUGGACUGGGCUAUGGACAGUUACCAUUCAUAAGGAUUCAUUCAUUCAGGAUUAUUCCUAAUCUUUGGAGUAAUAAGAGGUCAUCAUCUUCUGAAAUGCAUGUGUACAGCAGUAUUUGUCAUCUCUUUAGGCUGGAAAGAGGUAGGUCACCUUCAACAUGAAAACGUCUCAUUAACUUAAGAAACCAUCAGUUGUCUUUAUAACGUAUUUUAUGCUUUCAGAUUCUGCCUCUCCAUGUUGUAAAUGCAACAAACUAGUUUGGUCAAAUAGUAGAUCAGCAGAAGAACCAAUAUACAAUUCUUGCUGAAGGAAUUAUUGGGUAUUUUAAGGAACCUGGUAAUAAGAUUGCUGUUAAAAAUGUGGAGAAGCUGGCAUUUCAUGGUUUGUGUCAGAAAACAGUUGUUCACAGGUAAAAAUGUGGAUUUAUUUUGGUUUAAAUUAUUCAUGUGCACUUUUUAAUACAAAGUAAUUGAGAACUUUUACUGCUAAGUUAAAGUUAACCCACCAUGAAAACUAGCAAAAAAAUCUCUGCUGUACAAAUUGUUCUUUAAAAAGCUCUCCCAUGCUGCCUGUGCUGAAGGGAAGCCAGAAUGGCUCCACAUACACACCACUGAACAUUGUGCUGUGAAAGUUUAAUCUUUUUUAGACACAAGUAGGUGAAGAAACUUUACAACUAUAAUAAUUCUUUGUUUCCUCUCCAACUCUGAAGGGCUCAGGUGCUAGAUAUUUCCCCAAAAGAGAAGGAAAAUAUGUUCUAUAGUGUCAAAAUUAACUAUAUAGAUGAAGGCAGAACAUGUCAAGUCCAAAGUUACCAGCUGCUUCACUCACCUGCCAAGUUUCAGUGUCUGCCACCUCAGGCUGGGGACUUUGUAGAGUGACACCCAUUGGUAAUGAACUGGAGUGGAACCCAAAGGUAACUAAUUCUAUUCAUCAAACAGUUAAAGGAGAACUACACAAAGUAAAAGUAGUACUGCCCUUGGGAAACACAACUGGGAUUGACCCAAUUGGAGUUAACUACAAGUUCCUUACGACACUAUUAUGAUGAAAAAGAUGGCAAUAUCUGGAGAAGAAUUAAACAUGGGAACGUGCCUGUUGGGACAUUGGGAGAAAACCAAUUACUUACAGGUCCGGGUUACCAGGCUUCCAGGCUUGAAGAUGUCAGUUAACGAAUACGACGUUCAAUCUGAGGUUUUGCCUACAGGUCUGGGAACUGACAAUGCAGAACAUAGAACACAACUUCAGAAGCUGUGCAGCCACAUGAACAUAUUGGACAUGCAGCAAACUUGGAGCCCUUGUAAGAGUUUACAAGGUCUUUUGAGCAUACACUUUAUGAAAAAAGAAUGCUACAAUUAA